GGCCGUGUGGCGAAAUGGCAUCGCGUCUGACUACGACAUAAUUUGAAAUCAGGAGAUUGCAGGUUCGAUCCCUGUCUCGGUCA